rnacentral:rRNA from 1 species
UGCGUAGGUGGUUUCUUAAGUCAGAGGUGAAAGGCUACGGCUCAACCGUAGUAAGCCUUUGAAACUGGGAAACUUGAGUGCAGGAGAGGAGAGUGGAAUUCCUAGUGUAGCGGUGAAAUGCGUAGAUAUUAGGAGGAACACCAGUUGCGAAGGCGGCUCUCUGGACUGUAACUGACACUGAAGCACGAAAGCGUGGGGAGCAAACAG